ACUCAAAUGAAUAGACGGGGGCCCGCACAAGCGGUGGAGCAUGUGGUUUAAUUCGACGCAACGCGAAGAACCUUACCUGGGUUAGACAACGGUGGACCGUUCCAGAGAUGGAGCUUUCCCUUCGGGGACCGCCGGUUCAGGUGCUGCAUGGCUGUCGUCAGCUCGUGUCGUGAGAUGUUGGGUUAAGUCCCGCAACGAGCGCAACCCUUGCCUCUAGUUGCCAGCAUUUAGUUGGGCACUUUAGAGGGACUGCCGGCGUUAAGCCGGAGGAAGGUAGGGAUGACGUCAAGUCCUCAUGGCCCUUAUGCCCAGGGCUACACACGUGCUACAAUGGUCGGUACAAAGGGCUGCAAACUCGCGAGGGGAAGCAAAUCCCAUAAAGCCGGCCUCAGUUCGGAUUGGAGUCUGCAACUCGACUCCAUGAAGUUGGAAUCGCUAGUAAUCGCGGAUCAGCACGCCGCGGUGAAUACGUUCCCGGGCCUUGUACACACCGCCCGU
rnacentral:rRNA from 1 species